UACGAGGGGUGCUAGCGUUAUUCGGAUUUACUGGGCGUAAAGGGUGUGUAGACGGUAUGUUAAGUCGGUUGUUAAAUACUUCGGCCUAACCGAAGAUCAGCGAUCGAAACUGGCAUGCUAGAGGAUGGAAGAGAGAAGUGGAAUUCUCGGAGUAGCGGUAAAAUGCGUAGAUCUCGAGAGGAACACCGAUGGCGAAGGCAGCUUCUUGGUCCAUUCCUGACGUUGAAACACGAAAGCGUGGGGAGCAAACAGGAUUAGAUACCCGCGUA
rnacentral:rRNA from 1 species